UACAGAGGUCCCGAGCGUUGUUCGGAUUCACUGGGCGUAAAGGGUGCGCAGGUGGGUUUGCAAGUUUGAUGUGAAAGCCCCGGGCUUAACCCGGGAAUGGCAUUGAAUACUGCAGAUCUGGAGGAUUGGAGGGGGGACUGGAAUUCUUGGUGUAGCAGUGAAAUGCGUAGAUAUCAAGAGGAACACCAGUGGCGAAGGCGAGUCCCUGGACAAUACCUGACACUAAGGCACGAAAGCCAAGGGAGCAAACAGG
rnacentral:rRNA from 1 species